rnacentral:rRNA from 1 species
AGAUGGUGAACUAUGCCUGAAUAGGGCGAAGCCAGGGGAAACCCUGGUGGAAGCCCGCAGCGAUUCUGACGUGCAAAUCGAUCGUCAAAUUUGGGUAUAGGGGCGAAAGACUAAUCGAACCGUCUAGUAGCUGGUUCCCUCCGAAGUUUCCCUCAGGAUAGCUGGAGCCCGGUGCAGUUUUAUCAGGUAAAGCGAAUGAUUAGAGGUCUCGGGGUCGAAACGACCUCGACCUAUUCUCAAACUUUAAAUGGGUAAGAGGUCCGGCUUGCUCGAUUGAAGUCGGACGCGGAAUGCCGGGGCUCCUAGUGGGCCAUUUUUGGUAAGCAGAACUGGCGAUGUGGGAUGAACCGAAAGCCGGGUUAAGGUGCCCGAAUCGACGCUCAGCA